rnacentral:rRNA from 1 species
UACAGAGGUCCCAAGCGUUGUUCGGAUUCACUGGGCGUAAAGGGUGCGUAGGUGGUGAGGUAAGUCGGAUGUGAAAUCUCCGGGCUCAACCCGGAAAUGGCAUUGGAAACUACCUUGCUGGAGGAUUUGAGGGGGGAUUGGAAUACUUGGUGUAGCAGUGAAAUGCGUAGAUAUCAAGUGGAACACCAGUGGCGAAGGCGAAUCCCUGGAAAAUACCUGACACUGAGGCACGAAAGCUAGGGGAGCGAACGGG